AGUUAAAAAUUUCAUUCAUUUGUACUGUUAAAAACUGACGUGAUUGAUAGAAUGAUCAGACAAUGACAAGUGGUGAGCCACAUGUAGCUCGUACUGAUAUGCAUAGUCUAAUUUUUAACAGUAGAAAUGGAUGAAAUUUUUAACA
rfam:Gossypium hirsutum cultivar TM-1 unplaced genomic scaffold scaffold104.1, whole genome shotgun sequence